UUGUUUUACUUGUCAUUUGAACACAAGUCACGAACGUAGUUUGUUAAAACUGAAAAUCUACUUUUUAAAUAGUUUUCACUGUUUGUUUUUUUGGUGGUAAUAACGGUUUAUCUCACUCACUUUAACUGGGAAACCAGUUAAUUAGCCGACUCUGCAUUUAUUUAGAAAUUAAAGGAAUAAGAAGACAAGCUGAUAGGAUCUCCAGAAAGAACAGUCUGCUUGUGUCGUCACCAGAAAUUAUCCUUCCACAUGAUCACAGGAAUAAGCUGAUCAGGCAAUGCUUUUUCCAAAUAUACUGGAGGGGCCUGCAGCCACAGAUGACAUCACGACCAAACGGCCAAUAACAAACUGAAGGGUAAGUAUCCAGGUGAUGUUAGAAAUCAUUAGAUAUUAAGGUAAGUAGUGACGACAAAGCCAUUUGUAUUUGUUUACUUGAUUUAGCAUAUGGGCAUUAAU